UUAUUACCUCAGGAAUAAUAUGGUCCCAUUUAGAGUAAAAUAGACAAAAAAGCAGGUAGGGCGAGGGUACCCGACUACCACAGUGCACUGUUUUUUACUUGGACUGAAGGCCAAAUCAAAUAUAAACUUUAUUUAGUUUUAAUUCAUUUAUAGUGUGCUCACAAUGUACAUUUUGGCCAAAUUGAAUUGUGCUGAAUUAAAUAACCACCAAGAUUCAACACGAUAACAUUCAUGUUUGAAUGGGAUCACGUUUGGCUCCAAUGAAAAGUAGCUCCUUUGAGCUGGGAUUGAACCAGAGACCUAAGGAAGACUGUCAUUAACAACCUACAGUCUCUACCAACUGAGCUAUCGAAGGGAGCAAAGUGCUUCUAAUGGAUCCGCCUGUGCAUGGAUCUGCAUCUUUUGUCUGAUUAAAUCAAGCAAUGAAAAACAAUUUUACAGUCCUCUCAGUCCCGCUCUCUGAGGUGGAGCUAUCUUCAAGCCUGAUUGCAGAUGUGGAACACCCAGACUCAGCACUCCUUGGAGGAUCAAGAGGCUGAAGCUCCAGUAUUCACAAUCUCCAACCUGACAGCACCUAUUGGUUUUGUUUCGCCGUUUGUUCAUACUUUUUGGAAGGCGUCCAGCAGGCACAUAUUGUUACCAAAGUGAUGAGGAGGAAGAUGCCCCCAGUGGAGAGGAUGAUAUAGAGGGAACUUCUUCCUGGAUUCUCCACUGUGCAGCUGUAGAUGUCGUCAUCUGCCAUCAACACCCGUGUUAUGGUCAAGAGCUUCUGGUCAGAUGACAACACGAACCUCGUCACAUUGGUCAGUGGUUUUCCACCUUUGAACCACCUGUAUGUAGUCCUAGUUCCAUUGUCAUGGGAGCAAUUGAGAACGACGUUUUGGCUGAGCUCCAAUACUGAUGCCGACUCCAUGUCAAUAUAAGGCCUGGAUAUAGACUCUGGAGAUAGGCCACAGUAGAUACAGUUUUUUAAGUAGAAUAAAAACAUGCUUUUCUGAUGCAGUGUUUGAUGCAGUAUAAUAUGUUGACCCUGAGGUCUGAGGUCUGAAACACAAUCAUUUCAGAAACAAAUCAAACCCAAGACAAACAACUGCCUAGUAUAGGAGAUUAUUUGAAGGAUAAGCACUUUUAUCAACAUACUGUCCUUUGCUCUGCCAAGUGAGCUAUUGAAGUGGUUCAGCCUCUGCAUGGAAUUUGAAAAGACUCAACAUAAUAUAUGCUUAAACAAGAACACAUUGGGCACCAAUGAAAAGUAGCCCCUUGGAGUCUGAAUUGAACCAGCGACCUAAGGAUGACUACUAUUACCAACCUACAGUCCUCCGCUCUACCAACUGAUCUAUUGAAGGGAGCAAGCUGUGUCUGAUGGUUCAGCCUUUGCAUGGAUCCACAUUGUCUGAUUAAAUCAAGCGAUGGAAAACAAUUCUACAGUCCUCUGCUCUACCAACUGAGCUUUCGAAGGGAGCAACAUGCUCCCAUUGGUUCAGCCUCUGCAUGGAUGUUGAAAUUGAUGCUAACCAAAGUUGUUUUACAAAGACUCAUUAUACCAUUCAUGAUGAAAAAAUCACCAAGCAUGUGCUUAAAAUUAUUUCAGAAGACAUAUAGUGGAUGAUGAUGAUGAUCAUUCCUUACAUCAGAUGAAAUGAUGAAAUGAAACACAGAGCUCUGGAAAUGAGGUACUUUGACAUCUUUUCAUUCUGAAUCAGAACCAAUGAAAAGUAACUCCUUCGAGCCGUAGUUGAACCAGCGACCUAAGGGUGACUUCUAUCAUCAAUCUACAGUCCUCCGCUCUACCAACUGAGCUAUCGAAGGGAGCGCUCAGUGGUCCAACCUCUGCAUGGAUGCUGAAACUAAUGCUGAGCAAAGUUUAUUUAGAGUCUAGAAGAGUCUAGUCAUCAAAAAUCAAAUUGAACAUGAGUCUCAGUUAAACUUGAACUUGUUAUCUUACCAUCCACAGUGAGCGUGAUGCUGCCCUCUCCUGUAAAGGUAUCAUCUGUGAUGGAGAUUUCCACGUCGUAGGUUCCAUCAUCAGAGAGUCUGAGGUUGUGGAGAAGCAGAGUCCCAUUCUCAAAUACCAGGAUGCGAUCGCGAUACUCAGGCCUCAGAGUCCCAAUGAUGUCGGUUCCAAUCGACUGGACAACAGUGACGGACUUUUCCCUCUUGAGCUGCCACUUGAUGACCGGCAGGUCAAGGCUGAAGCUGGUGUAGCGGACGGACAGCAGGGCCUCCCCCCCUACUGCACCUCUAAUGAGAGUGCUGGGGAUAGUCAUAUUCACUGCCAGCACUCCACCUGCAGAGAAAAAGUGUAUGGGUAAUAAAUCGGCUGGCAAGCAAGUAGAAUUAGAAUUAAAAAUCCAAAUCAAUUAGAUUUUAAUAUGUUAUAUAAUAUUAUAUUAUAUUAUAUUCUUGUAUUAUUUAUAUUAUAAAUCAAAACUACACUGACAGCGAGAUUCCUGAGACAGACUGCGAUCCGCCUUCUUGUUGUUGCACUAAUGAGUAUAUUAGCUGGCUUGUUAUGUCCGGUGUUGUUGCACUUACUUGAUGUUUGGCUGUGUAAAUAAAGUUAUCGACUAGU